rnacentral:misc_RNA from 1 species
AGUCGUAACAAGGUUUCCGUAGGUGAACCUGCGGAAGGAUCAUUAACGUGCAUCCCCCAAACAAAACAAAACCGACUGUGAACAUGGAAAAGAUUUCCCUCUAUUCAAGUCAAAAGUGUUAGUGAGAGACUGUAAAAAGCUCUCUCUUUCUUUUGACUUUGAGGGAAAGAUACCCCCAAAAACCCAAACCACAAACCAAAAACCCAUUCAUUCUAAAAGUCAAAUCGGAUGUGAAGGGAAUUGGUGUGUUGAAAGGCAACUUUCUUCACCCCCGUUCUUUGACCUGAAGAUAAGAGAUAAAUCGACGACUUUCAACGGUGGAUCUCUCGGUCGU